rnacentral:rRNA from 1 species
UACGAAGGGGGCUAGCGUUGUUCGGAUUUACUGGGCGUAAAGCGCACGUAGGCGGAUCGAUCAGUCAGGGGUGAAAUCCCAGGGCUCAACCCUGGAACUGCCUUCUAGACUGCAGGCCUCGAGGUCAGGAGAGGCGAGUGGAAUACCGAGUGUAGAGGUGAAAUUCGUAGAUAUUCGGUGGAACACCAGUGGCGAAGGCGACUCGCUGGACUGAUACUGACGCUGAGGUGCGAAAGCGUGGGGAGCAAACAGG